rnacentral:rRNA from 1 species
UACAGAGGGGGCCAGCGUUAUUCGGAAUUAUUGGGCGUAAAGGGCGCGUAGGCGGCCAUGCGUGUCUUCCGUGAAAUCCCUCGGCUUAACUGAGGACGUGCGGAAGAAACUGCAAGGGCUCGAGUCCGGGAGAGGGGGGUGGAAUUCCCAGUGUAGCGGUGGAAAUGCGUAGAUAUUGGGAGGAACACCGGUGGCGAAGGCGGCCCCCUGGACCGGUACUGACGCUGAGGCGGCGAAAAGCGUGGGUAGCAAACGGG